GUUCCAGUGCAGUCGACUCUUCGCCAGUUGACUUCUCCAUUCUUCUUGGGAAGUGCGGCUUGAAAGGAAAGUGCUGGAGGCUCCACAGAGGUUUGGAGGUUUGGAGACCCCACCCCCAGCUUGUGGAACCUAUUGCAGUGCAUCAUGUCCCACGUUGAACACAAUCGUGUAUAAGGAUAAGGACACAAGAGUGGUGGCUGUCUAACUGAUAUGGUGGUAUGUUCUGUAGCAAUUGAAAAAGCAAUUUUGAAACGUUCUAUUUUGGAGCCAGUAAAUGUUGUCUUCAUCUCAUUUCUGAGGGGCCUGAAGAGUUAAAGGGCCCUGGGCACUCCACCUGUGAGGCCGAGUGAACACUGGGCCCCAAGUGCUUAGGAAGGAGGGAAGGGGAUGCCAGGAGCAGGGAGGUGGUGCCUGGAGGCUGCCUCACUGUGAGACUGGCAGAGGCCAGGCUCUGGGGCAGCUCCCAGCCAUCUCUGCUGCCCCUGGCUUCGCCCUGGGGUGAUUCUCAUUUUUCCUGGGGCCCAGAGAGCAGGCCAGCCCUCAGGCUGGUGGGCAGUGAGAGGAGAAGGACCCAGACAUGGCUCCUGCUCUCAGGGUAGAGGCCUAGGCACUUCCACUGAGGGGGCAGUCUCUCACCUUUUACUUCCAGCCCCUAGCCUCCUCCCUCCUCUUUGCUUCUGAGUGCAAAGCCCCUGCAGGAGAAAUAGAAUUGGCUCAGGUUAUCUUUAUAAGACAGCUACUGUAGAUCACAGGCCAUACGUUAGCCAGUAGACGGGCCGCCCUGGCCUGAGCAGCAUUGGCUAGGUGUAGGCCAGCCAGAGUGGCGUGGUUCAUCCCUCACUGCCCCUUCCCAGGGGAGCUGCAUGAGGACCCGUGACGUAACAGCUGACUUGUGAAGGAAUCUUCUAGACCAUUUCCCUGUCACAUUUCCUCUCUCCCUCCAAUAAAUAUGUCCCAAUGUUAUGACCCUGUUGACUCUACUGUCACAAUGUUGACAAAGGGGUUUGGCAGAGGCCACCUGGGUUCACAGUGCUUAGUGGGAAAGAGACCUGAAAAACUGGCAACUCCUGAUCCUUCCUUCCCAGCGGCCUCUCACCUUUAAUCUCCUCUGCAGUGCCCCAUCACAGGUUGGGGCCUUAGAACAGGCUCGGAAGCUGUCAUCGCAGCAGUGAGCAGUGACUAAUUAAGACACGGCUGCAUUAGUCACAUUGGAGGUGACAACUGAGCAGCAUGUUUCUGGUUGGUGUCUGGGAGAUCCUGACACACUUUCCCAUUAUGUGGAACUAAUAGUGUGCGGCUUCCAUGCGGCCAUGCGGGGUGGGAGAGCCUGAAAUGAAAGCAUGACUCUGUGGACAGCGCCGGUUUUGUUCCUGGCUCAUCUACUCCCCACUGCUUUGCCCUUUCAGUUGAAAAUCAUGAAAGAUGACACCAGGGGAAUGGCAUAAGGGGUGCCAGAGGACCUCUUUCAGAAGGCUUUUGUUGUCCACCACUGUUCCCAGGAGAAUUCUGAGACUAUUCAGAGGGGAACUGGUGAUGUAGGAGCCAGUCCUUUCACCAGAUGCAGACGAAAACCCCAGCCUCGCCAGCCUCGGAGCACACUCUUGUCUUCCCUCACCAGAGUCUGGCAGGGCCAUGCAGGGAGAACCACAAAGAUCCAGAGAAUCAGGACAUUGCAGCCAGAAGAAAAACAGGGCUCUUCCCACAGAAUCCCAACCAAACAUGCUGCUAAAAUAGCUGUCCUUUUUGUUUCCCCUAGGACAUUAACACGAGAAUUUUAUGAACAAA